rnacentral:rRNA from 1 species
AACAAACGCUGGCGGCGUGCCUAAUACAUGCAAGUCGAACGGGGAAAGCUUUCGGGUGAGUACUAGUGGCGCACGGGUGAGUAACGCGUGGAUAAUCUGCCUUAGAGUGGGGGAUAACUAGUCGAAAGAUUAGCUAAUACCGCAUAAGACCACAAGAACUGCGGUUCAAGGGGUCAAAGGUUUUUCGCUCUAAGAUGAGUCCGCGUAAGAUUAGCUAGUUGGUAGGGUAACGGCCUACCAAGGCGACGAUCUUUAACUGGUCUGAGAGGAUGAUCAGCCACUGGAACUGAGACACGGUCCAGACUCCUACGGGAGGCAGCAGUAGGGAAUAUUGCACAAUGGAGGAAACUCUGAUGCAGCGACGCCGCGUGAGUGAUGAAGGCCUUCGGGUCGUAAAGCUCUGUCGCAGGGGAAUAACACAAUGAAGGUACCCUGUAAGAAAGGAUCGGCUAACUUCGUGCCAGCAGCCGCCGUAAAAC